AAUUAGCUCGUUGAUAGCAGGAGCUGGGGAGGACACUGGCAAGUCCUUCAGAUAGAGAUAAGCUGUGUUCUGUUUUCUGUUUGCUCCUUGCCUGAGUGCCAGCGUGGCUGAAGGAUGAAAGUGUGACCUUGCUGCAAACGUGUGCUAGACCAAGUUCUCUAGCAUGGAAGCACCCAGUGCUUCCCACCUGGAGGAACAGACCCUGUCCAUGGGGCAGCACCCAGGAAUGAAUCCAGCUCCUGAGGACCCCCAGAUCACUCAGCUGCCUCUGGAUGCUCUCCCUUAAUCCAGAGCUGGUGGAACUCUAGGGUGUCUCACCUGCCCAGCUGCCCCUGGUGCUCUCCUGAGAGCAGUGUUGGCCCCACAGCAUGGUGGUGACCCAUGACCACGGGCUGUCCCUGUCCUGGGGGGGAAGGGGGUCUGUGGGGCUCAUCCUGGAAUGUUUUGGGGUGUGUGGAGCUCUUCCAGGCUGUCUUGGGUAUGGUAUGGGGUUAAUCCUGAAACAUCUUCAAGGUGUGUGUGUCUCAUCCUGGGGUGUCCUGGGGGGUGUGUGUGGGGUUUGUAUGGGGAUGUCUUGUGGGAAUAUGGGGUUAAUCCUGGGAUGUCUUGAGGUUGUGGGGCUCAUCCUGGGAGGUUUUGGUGGGUGUAUGGGGCUCAUCCUGGGCUGUUCUGGGGGCUUAUAGGGCUCACCCUGGUCUACCUCCAGGGGAUGAGCCUUAUCCUGGGAUGUUUUUGGUGGUGUGCAGCUUAUCUUGAGGUACUUUGAGGGGUGUGGGUCUCAUCCUGGGAUGUCUUGGUGGGGUGUAGGUGCAUUCUGGGCAUUUUUAAGGUCUGAGGCUCAUCUUGCAAAAUCACUGUGAGUCUAUGGCUCAUCCUGGGAUGACUUAAAUGGCUUAGGGCUCAUCCUGGGAUGUUUUGGUGAGUACA